rnacentral:tRNA from 1 species
GAGGGUAUAGCUCAAGUGAUAGAGUGAAUGUUUAGCAUGCACAAGGUCCUAGGUUCAAUCCCCAGUACCUCCA